rnacentral:misc_RNA from 1 species
GAUGAAGAACGUAGCGAAAUGCGAUAAGUAAUGUGAAUUGCAGAAUUCAGUGAAUCAUCGAAUCUUUGAACGCACAUUGCGCCCCCUGGUAUUCCGGGGGGCAUGCCUGUUCGAGCGUCAUUUCACCACUCAAGCCUCGCUUGGUAUUGGGCAACGCGGUCCGCCGCGUGCCUCAAAUCGUCCGGCUGGGUCUUCUGUCCCCUAAGCGUUGUGGAAACUAUUCGCUAAAGGGUGUUCGGGAGGCUACGCCGUAAAACAACCCCAUUUCUAAGGUUGACCUCGGAUCAGGUAGGGAUACCCGCUGAACUUAAGCAUAUCAAUAAGGGGGA